rnacentral:hammerhead_ribozyme from 18 species
CCAGCGUCUAAGGCAGGGGCCUGUCGGUAAGCCUUACUGAUGAGUCCUAUGGCAGGCCCCAGGACGAAACGCUUU